AGUGGCGAAAGGGGGCGUAACACGUGAGCAACCUGCCCCGAAGACCGGGAUACCGCCGGGAAACCGGUGCUAAUACCGGAUGUCCCCACCGGAUUCGCUUGGAUCUGUGAGGAAAUGGAUUCCGCUUCGGGAGGGGCUCGCGGCCAUCAGCUUGUUGGUGGGGUAACGGCCCACCAAGGCUACGACGGGUAGCUGGCCUGAGAGGACGAUCAGCCACACUGGGACUGAGACACGGCCCAGACUCCUACGGGAGGCAGCAGUGGGGAAUCUUGCGCAAUAGGCGAAAGCCUGACGCAGCAACGCCGCGUGGGGAAUGAAGGCUCUCGGGUUGUAAACCCCUUUCAGCAGGAACGAAAACAGACGGUACCUGCAGAAGAAGCCCCGGCCAACUACGUGCCAGCAGCCGCGGUGAUACGUAGGGGGCGAGCGUUGUCCGGAUUUAUUGGGCGUAAAGAGCUCGUAGGCGGCUCGGUAAGUCGGGUGUGAAACCUCCAGGCUCAACCUGGAGACGCCACUCGA
rnacentral:rRNA from 1 species